AGAGGCUGAGGCGGUGCUAGCGCCUGGGCGGCCACGGUAGCAGGCACCGCGUGCGUGGCGGGGUGAAGGCAGCCGGCGGCCGCCCCCCGCCCCCGCCCCCGCCGGCAGCAAGUUUCGGGCAGUUCGGGAUUUUUGGUGGAGGAAUGGCCUAAGGCAGGGAAUGGAGUUACACUACUUUUUACUGAUGAUAACAUUUUAUUUCUGCAAGGAGUAUCACACAUGAUGCUACCAUGAUUGAGGGACUACAACUCAGCAAACUGACAUCCAGCUGUUUGAUCUCCAGGGUCUUGCCCAGGCGGCCACCCACGGCCUCCUCAAGCGCCGCUUUCUUGGCCAGGUUCCGCAUGGUGGCGUACACUGCAACACAGCAGGAGCAUCAGUCACCGGCAGCACCGCCGCACUGAAGGUCGCCUUCUGGGCAGCGGCAAAGAACACCGCUUUCACAUCUGCAUCUUAAAUACCUCAGUACAACCCAAAUAAAAGCUUCACGUAGGAGGAAUGUACUUUCAACAUAUAAAUACCGUCAGUCGCUGAUUUCCCAGAAUCUGGUUCUGAAACCUCCAAGGAAUGUAAAGGAGAAUGAGACCGCUACGUACAAUGUGGAACUUGCAGCAUAUGCGAAUAACAUUAUCACCAAAACUUUUGAUGACGGGUGCCAAAGUUAGGCUGCUGAAUCAUUUUUUGGGAUGUAAAGAUCAAUUUCAGAUUCCAUAUGUAUUUUUUAAAUCACAGCCAACAUGUUCAGCAGAUCAAUUGUAAUUUUAUGAGAAAGUGGAAGACAGCGGCUUCCUCCAGAUAUGAAAGUGUUUAUUUUUGUAAGGUACUUAUCAAAAUAGAAGUUAUCUUUAUUGUUAUUCUGACCUAAUUACCCUGACAUCUAUGAAGCUGCAUCCAAUCUCUUGGCAGUAAAACACAGAAUAAUUGUGAAGGAACUGAAUUUCCACACACGCUGUAUUUGUUAUGUUAUCCAUUUUUAGUCAUAGCAAAUAUCCCAUUUUAGGGCAAAUAAGUCCCAACCCUUUUGAUCAGCCUCAUUUGCCUAGGUGGCAUUGGAAUAAUGAA